UACGAAGGGGGCUAGCGUUGUUCGGAUUUACUGGGCGUAAAGCGCACGUAGGCGGAUUGGUCAGUUAGGGGUGAAAUCCUGGAGCUCAACUCCAGAACUGCCUUUAAUACUGCCAGUCUCGAGUCCGGAAGAGGUAAGUGGAACUCCUAGUGUAGAGGUGGAAUUCGUAGAUAUUAGGAAGAACACCAGUGGCGAAGGCGGCUUACUGGUCCGGUACUGACGCUGAGGUGCGAAAGCGUGGGGAGGCAAACAGGAUUGAGAAACCCGUAGGGUAGUCCAAGACCAAG
rnacentral:rRNA from 1 species